AUGCAGACUUCUGAUCUGCACGUCGUCCGGGAGAGGGCAGGAGGCCAGCUCGCCUAUUCAGUUCAGUUCAACGAUUAUGUGAAAUAUUUAACUGCCUAUCUCUUCCAGGCCUGCCCCACUGGCAGGGGCCAAGAGACAAAGAAGAGAAAGGAGCUGCAGUUUUGUAACUCCAGAAGCACCCAGCCCCAGGCUCUGCAAGGGGGGACUCUCCGGCUUGAGAACCUGCUUUCUGCUGAAAGACCACCACUUGCUGAGAACCCCAGGGAUUCACCCUCAAGCUAGGGCCACACCCCCUCUAUUCCUAUCUCCUUUGUGGCUGCCUCUGAACCGUCUGAAGCUCUGUGUGGGAGGGUGAAGACUGGGUAGGGCCCAGGAAACUCAAGGAGAAAUACACAGAAACCACCCCACAGGGCAGUGGCCUCCUUUGUCCUGUUCCCCAGGACAGGCCACUCCAGGGAAAAAGACAGUCACCUUUGCGGUCUGAGCUCUCCCCAGAAACGCCAACAGACGCUAGAAACACCAGGGAGCCCUGCGGGUCCCCCACGCCUACACCCGUGGGGGCUUCCCCCACUCCUGGCCCCUGGUAUUCCCAUUCAGCCAAGCUGAGGAUGUGGGAAGCUUCUCCUGCCACAACAGAGGCGCCAUCCUUCCUGCUGCUGGCUCCCAUCGUCCCUCAUGACUCCAAACAUUCUUGGGCCUCCAGUGAGAAGCCAAGCCUGCCACCGGCCGCCCAGCCCUGCUCCUGUCAGCACAGCCUGGGCCUGGAGGAGGGUAUGGGGGGGGGGAAUAAGAGGGAGUGAAUGGAGGAGACAGAACAGAGGAGGGGAGGAGACAGCAAUGGGAGAGACAGAACAGAGACACUGAGAGAAACUGAGAAAGAAAAGGAAUGACGUAGGAGAAAAAAGAAAAGGAACUCAUAUUUUAUUGAGUGAAAGCUAUGUAUCAUGCAAGUGCCAGGCCCCUGUUAAUUAUAAUCAUUUGGUCAUGCAAACGCUAUCGUUCUUCUUCCCAUUUGGUAGAGAAGGAAACUGAGGCUUGCAGGAGCUGGGUGGGCAUUCUGCUCUUAGAAAAGAGGGCAGGAGAACGCUGAGAGAGAAAAAAGGAGCAGGCAGGCAAAGGAAGAAUGCUGACCACGAGGAAAGUGGAGGGCUGCAGUGGGAAACAGGCAGAACAGGAGGAAGCAGAGAGGGAUGGGGGAGCUGGCUGCUGGCUGAUGCCCGGCUCGUGGGAGCAGACCUGAG
rnacentral:lncRNA from 1 species